rnacentral:rRNA from 1 species
UGGCGCACGGGUGCGUAACGCGUGGGAAUCUGCCCUUGGGUUCGGAAUAACAGUUAGAAAUGACUGCUAAUACCGGAUAAUGUCUUCGGACCAAAGAUUUAUUGCCCAAGGAUGAGCCCGCGUAGGAUUAGCUAGUUGGUGAGGUAAAAGCUCACCAAGGCGACGAUCCUUAGCUGGUCUGAGAGGAUGAUCAGCUACACUGGGACUGAGACACGGCCCAG